GGUUAAGGAUGAGGGAGGGGAGAGCUGAGACGUGAGAUUUGUGGCCAGGACGGAGGAGUGAAUAGAGCCUGCUCGGACUGGCGAGGAACAUACAGAGAGAAGCUACUUUCCGUGUGCUUAGGAGAUCAUAUAGUUCAGACAGACUUUGGCUUAUAAUGUCCUAAAUGGCCACCGUAUGGACAUGUUGUUUCCAUCAUCUGUAUUCUUCUGCUUUCAGUGAUUCUCUGCAGCAACACCACCUAGUGGCAGAAUGCACACAUCAAUCAGUCCUGGCUUUGUGGCAGUCAUCUGGGUACUAGCAGUCUGCAUUUUAUACACGUUUGUGGUUUUGGUUGAAGAAAAUAUACACAUUCAAAAAAAUUCUAACUGAUUUCAGUUUGGACAUCAUAAUAUCAUCACUCUGUGUUGGACGUUAACAUUACAAGAAUGGGACCAUGUAAAGACGACAAUCAAACUAUCACAACUAAGAGAAGGCAAAAUAUGUUUGAAUUAUAUGAAGAAAUGCAGUGUCAUAAACAGUGACAUCUGCUCAAAAUCAGGAACGUCAUUCAAGGAAAAGGAAAAACAUUAUUAUGAAUGAAACGGAUGGGAAAAAAAGACAAAAAAAUCAGUAGUGAUCUCAGCUCUAACAAUGGUACUGCUACUGCGGAGUCUGCAUUGUACUUGCGAUCAAACAUUUCUUUGGAUCCCUGAACUGGGCCUAAAACUAAAGGAUUCUGCAACCCUGAAAAUUUCCUUUAGUGGUUUGUCUCCCAGAGUAGUCGACGCUGCACAAAUCCUUCUAAAACGGCAGUUUACAGUUGAGGGGCUCCACUCUGCACCCACACCUUGGUCUGAAAUAUGCCCUGUGUCUGGACCAGCUGUACAAAUUCAUGUCGAUAUAGAUUGGAGUCACUGCUUUACAUCUUGUUACAGAAGUGGGAGAGUAGAGCUUGUAUAUUCUUUCCCACGUGAAGUUUCACAGUCAAUUUUAUAGCAAAUUGAAGCCAUUUAUCAAAACAUGGUUCCUGAUCCUCUGAAACUAUUUAUUGCUGAUAGCACAAGCUAAGGGUUCUAAAAACUGUGUCCUAUAUGCAAUUGCUUUGGCUUAGGAGAUACUAAAUAAUGGAAAUCCCAGCUGCACGUUUGACAUUUCAAAAAUGAGGAAGCACCUUGUUAAGUGCUUUAUGGCCCAAGAGAUUAUGGAAUUUCCUAAAAUAUCUUAAUCGGUAAUGCCACAAGUGCAGCAAAAAGGUAUUUUUCAACAAGCGCAAAUAUUGCUCUCUCUCUCUCUUUGAGAACCUAAAGGAAGGAGGAAAAGGAGAACUAAAUCCCCCCAGUAACUAAAUACUAAAAACUAAUACACAGUGGGGAUGGGGGGGGCUUUAAUGAAUGGUGGGUUAGUUCUCCUUUAAAAAAAUAGAAUCAGAAGGAGAGAUGCUGGAAACAAUACCUGUAUAAAAAAGGAAGGAUACGACCUAGAAAACUCAUAAGCUAGCUGGCUCAUUUAUCAAAUAUCAAACCAAGAAUUAAAGUAUAAAAUAAAUUAUAUUAUUUUGUGUAA